AGUGAACGCUGGCGGUAGGCCUAACACAUGCAAGUCGAACGGCAGCACAGUAAGAGCUUGCUCUUACGGGUGGCGAGUGGCGGACGGGUGAGGAAUACAUCGGAAUCUACUUUUUCGUGGGGGAUAACGGAGGGAAACUUACGCUAAUACCGCAUACGACCUACGGGUGAAAGCAGGGGAUCUUCGGACCUUGCGCGAUUGAAUGAGCCGAUGUCGGAUUAGCUAGUUGGCGGGGUAAAGGCCCACCAAGGCGACGAUCCGUAGCUGGUCUGAGAGGAUGAUCAGCCACACUGGAACUGAGACACGGUCCAGACUCCUACGGGAGGCAGCAGUAGGGAAUAUUGGACAAUGGGCGCAAGCCUGAUCCAGCCAUGCCGCGUGGGUGAAGAAGGCCUUCGGGUUGUAAAGCCCUUUUGUUGGGAAAGAAAAGCAGCAGAUUAAUACCCCGCUGUUCUGACGGUACCCAAAGAAUAAGCACCGGCUAACUUCGUG
rnacentral:rRNA from 1 species